AGUCAUAUAUUCCCAUAUAACAACCUUCUACCAUGUGCUUGCAAGAUGCCCCAUGCUGUCCUAGAGACUUUUGCAUGUCAUUUAGUGGGAGACAAUGCUGCGGACUUCAUUCCAGAGAGAGCAAGACUGGACUCAGAUGCAAUUCUGUACCCGAAGGCAGAUAGCUCUAUAAACUCAGAAGAUUGUCCCAUAGGGUGCUUGGGCUUCUGCCUUUGACCUAGGACUCAAGAACCCCUGUUGAACUAUGAGGUCAAGUCCUGCUGACCCACCCAGCCCUCACUGUGCCCAGCUUCCUCCUUCUCUGUCUGUGGUAGUCAGACCUCUAUCUGGUGGUUAUGGAAAAAGGCACGGUUCCUCUUAUCUUUUCCCAUCUUGCAUCAGCCUGCACCAUCCUGGGCUCAUUUCAGCUGCCCUGAAUUCCUAUUUUAGUUUCAUGGCUCAUCACAGACUCGGGAAUAUGAUGCAUUAGCUUCAUAUUUAAAAAGAGAAAGUAGAAAUGUGAUUUACCUAAGACUAUCCAUGAGCUACUCAUUCUCUUUCCAAAAUAUUCUUUCUUUACCCAAACAGAUCAUUCAAGAAUCCCUUCUGGUGUUAUUACAUUCCUCUGGAAGCCUCCCCCAGCUCCCCACCAAAUCCAUCCAUCCAUCAUCCACUUAGUCAACACACACUUACUGAGAACCCACAGUGAGUCAGGCACUUCUCCGGGUCAGUUCCUGGAGAUUCACAGUGAACCAAACAGACAGAACUCCUUGCCCCAGUGGAGCUUAUAUUCUGUGGGGGAAAGAUGGACCAUAAACAUAGAAACAAGCAAAAUGUGUUAUGUUAGAUGGUCAUAUGUUCCAUGAAGAAAAAUAAAGCAGAGGUGGUUUAGAGAAUGAGGGCCCUGUGGGAGGAAUGGGGGGGCAGGGCUGCUAUUUUAAGUUGGGUAGUCAGGGGAGGCCUCCUGAGAAGGUGAGGAAGAGGGCAGACCUGCAGGACGUGAGGACGAACCAGCUCACUGGCCGGCAUUAUGUGGUAAGAUGGUCUGUGCACAGCUCUGAUGAUAUGUGUUGUUCAAGGACACGAGGACACUGAUUUUCAGCAGGUUAUCACUCACUUAAGGACAGAGGAACCACAGGAUUCUAGGGGGCCACAGCCCAGAUUGGGGAAGCCAGACUCAUUGGCCAGACAGCUGCUCAGCUGGUUCGUCCCAUCAGUCUGAAUUGGUGAACCUGAAUCUCACACGAGGCCUCCAGAUCCGGGCAAAGGCCUCAUCUCUAAGGGGAAAUGAGGAUGGCUGCUCAUCCUCAUUACACAUGGUAAUGAGGGAGCGUUCGCCGUUCACUCAGAAACCUCCAUGGGAUGCUCGGUACUGACACCCUGGAGAA